GGAGUCUAACGCGCGCGCGAGCGAGAGGGCGAGAGGCCCAUCCGCGCAACGAAAGCGAAUGGCGGGACGCUCUCCCGCAGGGGGGCGGCGCCGCCGGCCGGACGUCCUCGAGGCGGACCGAGCCGGAGCGCUCGCGUCGGGACCCGAAAGGUGGUGAUCUAUCCGUGCGCGCGGCGAAGCCGGGGGAAACCCCGGUGGAGGCCCGUCGACGGUACUGACGUGCAAAUCGUUCGUCCGACGUGCGAAGUAGGGGACGAAAGACCAAUCGAACCUCCUAGUAGCUGGUUUCCGCCGAAAUUUCCCUCAGGAUAGCGGCCAUCGCGGAAACGUUUUGACCGGUAGAGCGAACGACUAGAGGUACCGGGGCCGUAACGGCCUCGACCUAUUCUCGAACUCCGAACGGGCAAGGAGCCGGGGUCGCCCGAUCGGACCCCGGACGUGAAGUCGACGAUGGUCGGUGGGCUGGUUUUGGUAAGCAGAACGGGCGAGUUC
rnacentral:rRNA from 1 species